CACUCCUACGGGAGGCAGCAGUGGGGAAUAUUGCACAAUGGGCGCAAGCCUGAUGCAGCCAUGCCGCGUGUAUGAAGAAGGCCUUCGGGUUGUAAAGUACUUUCAGCGGGGAGGAAGGCAAUACGGUUAAUAACCGUGUUGAUUGACGUUACCCGCAGAAGAAGCACCGGCUAACUCCGUGCCAGCAGCCGCGGUAAUACGGAGGGUGCAAGCGUUAAUCGGAAUUACUGGGCGUAAAGCGCACGCAGGCGGUCUGUCAAGUCGGAUGUGAAAUCCCCGGGCUCAACCUGGGAACUGCAUUCGAAACUGGCAGGCUUGAGUCUUGUAGAGGGGGGUAGAAUUCCAGGUGUAGCGGUGAAAUGCGUAGAGAUCUGGAGGAAUACCGGUGGCGAAGGCGGCCCCCUGGACAAAGACUGACGCUCAGGUGCGAAAGCGUGGGGAGCAAACAGGAUUAGAUACCCUAGUAGUCCCAUGAU
rnacentral:rRNA from 1 species